CUUUCUCCGACCGAACAAAUCACGAAUGUAUAACAAUGUAUUUAAUUAAUUAAUAUCCUCCUCGUGGUUUCGAGUUGAAAAAGCAUCAAUCAAUAUCAUCAAUCAAUCAUGAUCCUCCUCCUUUAGAUCGCUCUCUGAACAAUUAAGAAGAGACGAUGAUGGCGGUGGUUUUGGGGUUAUUAGAUUUCUUUGUUGCCGGAGCUUCUCUUAUCUUUUGUUUGUUCCUUUUUGGUUUCAUUGCUUCUCUUCUAUCUGCUGCCGCUUUCUUCAACAACGCCAAGGACGUUUCCUAAUUCAACUAAUCUUUCUCUAUCUCUCCAAGUAAGCUAUUAUUUCCUCCUUUUAAUCAUACAUUUUUGCAUUCCAAAUCUUAUAUUGUUUCUACUUUAGUUUCUAUGUUUUCAUUUUCUUGCAAUUUCCUCACAUGGAAUCAAUGUUUUAAUUAUCGGUUGAGGUCGCGGUUGCAUUGAGGAUUUCGAUAAUUGAACUUGUAUUUUACCUCUAUCUUUUGUGUAAGUUACUAGACUGGGUUUAGUUUAGAUUCUCUGAAGGACAAUUUCUAUACUUUAUUACAAGAACAAUAUUGGUCUCUCUUAAGUAAGUAAAACUGUAAAACUGUAAAACUGUAACAGUAGCUGUCAUAUUUGGUUUUUGUUGAUCUAUGAAUGCAAUUUGUCUGUUACAGAAAUUGUUCUUAAGGAUAUACCCUUCAUUUUGGACAAUCAAAUUUAUUCUCUCUCUGCUUGGAAAAUCAAAUUUAUUCUCUCUCAGAUUGAACUCACAACAUGUAUAUGUAUGUGAAGAGACCGUACAUGAAGAAAUGACCAGUUAAUCUUUUAUUUUAAAUACAUACCAUGUAUGUAUCUUUAAAUGUAUAGAUCAUAAGGUCAUGUAAAAGUAACACACCCUAAAAGUAGCUGGCCCUAUAAUGUUAAAAUGAUUUUUCAGAAAUUGGUAUUUUCGGUAUUUUCGGUUUUAGGAUUAUAUGCUUUAGUUAUACAAGACUCAUUUAGUAUUUAAAAUAAUUGAAUACCCUAGUUUAUUUUUAGUAUUGUAAAAUUUGAACCAUCUACCGUUUUGUCUUCAUUUUUAGUAUUGAACUACUUAAUCUAAAUGCAAUUGUGGGUGUUUGUACGAGUACAACAUUAACUUCUUAUCAUGUUACACUUCCCAUAUAAUCAUUUGGUUUGGUUGAUCUCUUAUUGCUUCAUUAUCAUGUAGCUAUUUGUUGCAAUUGCAGUUGGGUCUUCUGUGGAUGUCUGGAAGUUUUCUGUAUGAAAUCAAAUGCUUCAUUGAAGCUUAUGAAUGACGGAAUGAGUACAAAUGUUGUUUCAGGUAUCUUCACCCUGAAUUGUAGUUACUGGUUUGUCGUAAUGGCUAAAGUUGUUCUAAUUCUUUCAUUUACUUUUUGGCAGAAUCAUUCUGGCAUUUGGAAGCAGCUUAUCCACAUAAUUUCUUAUCUUGGAGUGGAUAAUCUUUCUUUACCAUCCUGAUAAAGCUAAUACUGCUUAAGGUUCAGGCUUGCCACAAUAUAUUUCUGCUGUCAGACCUUUCAUUUUUCCCUCUUGUAUAUAUGUUACAUGAAUGAUAUGACAGCUAUGAUUAAUUAAAAGAUAUAUUGCUCUUUUGCAUGUUUCUUUCAUGUUACAUUUUUUAUCAUCCUGUGAAUGUUUAAUUAGUUGCUUAAUUCUAUAUUCGGGCAUGCCCNN
rnacentral:lncRNA from 1 species